ensembl:lncRNA
GCUGAGGCAAGUUGAAGCUAAACCCUGCAGGGCACUGGCCCUCCAGGACUGAAGUUUGGACACCCCUGAGUUAAAAGAACUGCUCCAACUCUGCAGGCCAGGUCGAUGCUGAUAACCAUGUGGGAAGCAUGCCGACAUACAGUGCUGUUGCGCUUUUGGCAUCUUGAGUUCGAAUCCCAAAUCGAGGACCUUUCCCAAUCCCACCCCCGAUCUCUCUUCCACUUUGCUUCCUGUCAGUUCUGAUCUGUCCUAUCAUAAUAAAGGCAAAAAUGCCAAAAACAAAUCUUUAAAAACUCUGAAGGCCAGUGUUUCCCAGCCCUAUUCCUGAAGGCCCCCUCCCCAGUAGUAGCAUUUUGUGUAUCCCUUAUCCAUCUGACCCAUCCAUUUCAGGUCAUGGAGUCUUUACUAAUGAGCUGAUGAGUUGAAUCAGUGGGUCCACCCUGACUUCGUGUCGCGCUUCCUGAAGAAAGGAAAAGCCCUGAUGUGCUUGUCACCUGAGCUGACGGCCGGGGCUGCGUGAUGGAGGCCGAAUGUCUUCACUUGGUCCCUCUUCAGACACUCAAAGGCCGCUCUGUUUCAGCCUGAUGACGAGCCGAUUGGAUAUAAUCUUGAGCAGCGGACUCAGGAGAUGGGGAGGAAUAGGGAAACUCUACAGUAGGCUUUGCAGGGAAGGAUCGUCUUUCUCCAGAAGUAGGAAACGAGCGUCGGAGGGUUCCUGCUGCCAGUCGGCUCUCUCCUCCUGUUACGACACGGGACCAAAUUCAAACCAUGUGUCCUCGCACCCGGUUAGCUGCUUUUGCCCACCUCUAGCAUUAGCAGUCUGGACGGAUCCAUUUCACUGCCCCUCUCCCGUGUAGCGUUCUCAUUCUCCCAGCCCCAAAUGAGCCUCUCCGUGGGACUCCUGCCUUAAUAGGCUGGAACUUUCCCAUGUCCGGUCUCCAAAGGUGGCUGUUAUCCUCCGAGGGCCCCUGUGCGAGUUUCAAGCUCGGGCUCAUGUUAUGAGCCGGGCGAGGUGGACUCCGGGAUGUCAGAUGUGAUGCUUCACACAGAUUUUCACGGUAGUGUCUGAGCAGACCUGUGGAUGAGUGUGACAGCUGGUUCCUCCACAUCAUGGAUUGGUCAGAGAUAUCUGGAGAUGCUCGUUUCAUAAGUGGAUUUCAGUUGUGUGGACUACAUCACAGCAUCUGCUGUUUCGGUUUCCCGUGCUUUGACUGCAGAGACUCGAUUACUCGGACUGUUUUAUUCUUUACGUCAUGUGUUUUCAGCUGAUUUGUCAGUACACUGUUCCAGUCAUGCUAAAAUAUACAAUACACAUACAGUAGUUAUGAUGUUGAAACUCUUGUUCACUGCACCCGUAGAUGCCCUACUAACUAAAGUUUAUAUGCCAGGGACUAGAUCUUCUAGCGAUCUAAUAAAUAUUGUUUGAAUGUAAAUUGUGCUAAUAUUUCAAUAAUAUAGCAAUGUUUUAUAAAGAAAUAAGGCACUUUGUUGUAAAUGACUACAGUAUAUCACAAUCUAACACAUCCUCUUGUACAGUAUUGCUUCCUUUUAAUAUAUAAAUAUUUUUUUUACAUACACGUGUGUGUAAUUAUGAUAUUAUUUUUUAAA